rnacentral:rRNA from 1 species
GGUACACGCUGUGACUAGCAUAUCAAUAAGCGGAGGAAAAGAAACUAACAAGGAUUCCCCUAGUAACGGCGAGUGAAGCGGGAAGAGCUCAAAUUUGAAAUCUUAAAGGGUUUCCCUUUACGAAUUGUAGUUUAAAGGAAGUGUUUUCUGUUGAGGUUUUGGUAAAAGUUCUUUGGAAUAGGACAUCAUAGAGGGUGAGAAUCCCGUAUUUGACCUUUACUUUCAACUUUGUGAUACACUUUCAAAGAGUCGGAUUGUUUGGGAAUGCAGUCCAAAAUGGGUGGUAAAUUUCAUCUAAGGCUAAAUAUUGGCGAGAGACCGAUAGCGAACAAGUACCGUGAGGGAAAGAUGAAAAGAACUUUGAAAAGAGAGUUAAACAGUACGUGAAAUUGUCAAAAGGGAAGCGUUUGACACCAGUGUUGUUUUUCUGAAAAUCAAUUAAAGAACUGUUUAUGCUAAGUUGUUUAGACUUUAUCAGCUAACUGUUUAGUUUUGAGCUUUUCUUUAAUGCACUUUUCAGUUAACAAGUCAACAUCAAUUUCUUUUGCUGUAAAAAAGCUUGAGGAAGGUGGCUUGAGAUUCGUCUUAAGUGUUUAUAGCCUCUUGCCUAUGCAGUCGGAGAGAUUGAGGUCUGCAGCGUAGAUCCUUCGGGGCUAAAUGCAUUUGUGCUAAGUUAUAACAUUUUAUAGACAACUUGUUGACUAUGAUUUGUCUUGUAGCUUACUCGCUUAUGUUAUUUUACCUACGCUUAGGAUGUUGACAGCAGUAUAGACUGU